rnacentral:rRNA from 1 species
GACGUAGGGCGCGAGCGUUGUCCGGAUUUAUUGGGCGUAAAGAGCUCGUAGGCGGCUUGUCGCGUCGACUGUGAAAACCCGAGGCUCAACCUCGGGCCUGCAGUGGGUACGGGCAGACUAGAGUGCGGUAGGGGAGAUUGGAAUUCCUGGUGUAGCGGUGGAAUGCGCAGAUAUCAGGAGGAACACCAAUGGCGAAGGCAGAUCUCUGGGCCGUAACUGACGCUGAGGAGCGAAAGCAUGGGGAGCGAACAGG